rnacentral:lncRNA from 1 species
AAACUCUUCAAUAGUUCUAUUUGGUACUUCAAAUCCUCCUUUUACAGUACUCUUCAGUACAUUUUGUUGAUCAUUAUCCUUAGUUUCACUCUUAGGCCUUUCGGUUUUCUCUUGUCUCAGCUUUUCUAUUUUGUUCUUCUCAGCAGUCGUCUUGGCUUCCGCAUGCAUCCUUAUAGGUUCUUCACCAUUCUCCUUCUCCACAAAAUUUUCAAUCUCAUUUCCAUUUCUUACGACUGUUGCUUUAUCGACGUACUCCGUUUCUUGUAUCCUCGAAACAUUCAACCCUUUGCUAUCCUCAAGUGUUGCUUUUGGUAAGUUUUUCACAACCUCUUCCUUUUCUGUUAUCAUUGUUUCAAAUUCUUCCUUACCAACCUUUUCUCUCACAGGUUCUUGAUCAACAUUCUGAACUUCACUCUUAGCUUUCACAAAGUCAUUCCCUUCAAAUAUGUUUUUCGGAAUAGCCUCAACCGAUAUCCUUUUAGGUUCCCUUCCAUCAAUCUUCCCUUCAACAUUUUCAGUUUUUUCCAUUUGUUGUAUUUCAGAUUCUUUAGACUUAUCUUGGCUUAUACCACCAGUGUUGCUAGGAUCAGCUACAUUAUGAACAUGUUCUGAUGUCUUCAUUGCUGUGCCUUUUUGCACCAUCUCUCCAAUGUUCCCAUUGGCAUCAUCAAGCCUCUUGUCAGAUACCAUUUUUCUCUUCUUCCCGAAAAAACUUUCAUCGUCCUCCGUCUUUAUAACCUGAGACUCUUUAGUUUGGCUUGUAUCUCCAUUGUUCUGUGUAAAACCUGUACCUUCAUUUUGCUCCAUUUCUGGUUUCUUCACUGUUUCAUAUGCUACCAUGCUAACAUUUUUUUCCACACUUUCUACCAUUCCAUCCUCAAUCCCCAACUUAGAUUCUUC